AAAGGAAAAUGUAGCCAAGAACAACUUGCCGGUAGCCGGUAAGCAUGAAGAUGAAAUAUGAAAUAUAUAUAAAAAUGCUUAAUUAUUGCUCCGGCAAGUCAUCCUUGGCUGCACUCUACUUUCU
rfam:Cajanus cajan chromosome 11, whole genome shotgun sequence.